UCCAGCAGCACUGCGCUCGCGCUCACACUCACACUCACCUUUCUCUUCGGAGGUGCUCUGAUAGCCGCCGUCAUCCUCAAGAGGAGAAGGGCGCAAGGAGUGAGGGAAGAGGCCACU